GCAGGCUUAACACAUGCAAGUCGAGGGGUAACAGGGAUUGCUUGCAAUCCGCUGACGACCGGCGCACGGGUGCGUAACGCGUAUGCAACCUACCUUCUACAGGGGAAUAGUCAAUAGAAAUGUUGAAUAAUACCCCAUACGAUCUUUGAAUAGCAUUAUUUAGAGAAGAAAGUUCCGGCGGUAGAAGAUGGGCAUGCGUCCUAUUAGUUAGUUGGAGAGGUAACGGCUCCCCAAGACAUCGAUAGGUAGGGGUCCUGAGAGGGAGACCCCCCACACUGGUACUGAGACACGGACCAGACUCCUACGGGAGGCAGCAGUGAGGAAUAUUGGACAAUGGAGGCAACUCUGAUCCAGCCAUGCCGCGUGCAGGAAGACUGCCCUAUGGGUUGUAAACUGCUUUUAUACAGGAAGAAAUGUACCUACGUGUAGGUAUUUGACGGUAC
rnacentral:rRNA from 1 species